rnacentral:lncRNA from 1 species
GCUCCAUGUUCCAACUUCUAUGCUGGCUCCCUUCAUGCGGCUUGAGUACUUCGCCAAGUUACACCCAAGUUGCUCCGCUCCUCGUUUUUGCAUUAAGUCGAUGGUGGCCCUCGUGCCCACCAUUCCACGGGUCAGCCCUCCCUUGAGUCCGAUCUCCACAUCGACUCCAAGUGUGCCUUCAUUUAAGUUGCUUUAGGUCGCUCCCCCACUUGAUCUCGCAAUGCAUCCACCAAUGCAUUCUCUCAAGCGAGAUCAUGCGACGACUCCUCGCCGCUUGCUCAGUCCAUUGAGCUUUAUGGAGUCGUUGUUUGUUGAGGUACUCCUCCUCAACUUGUGGGGUCCGUCUCACAUGAUUCUCCCUCUGGAGAGCCGGGACUUAUCCCUCCUGGAUAACUGUCCCAUUGGAGAAAACAUCUCUCUUCGUUUCGGAGACCACCAUCCCCUUGGACUACUCCGAUCUGCUGAACAAACUGUGCAUUGUUCUGCCUCCUGUAAACGCACUUGCUAGAUUGCGACUCCACGUCAAUACAGCCCCCGCUGUGCCACUCAAGGCCUAGCAACAUGCUGAACUCGUUGCACACUUCAG